rnacentral:rRNA from 1 species
GUGCCAGCAGCCGCGGUAACACGGGGGGAGCAAGCGUUGUUCGGAAUCACUGGGCGUAAAGGGCGUGUAGGCGGUCAAGUAAGUGGGAUGUGAAAUCCUUCGGCUUACCCGGAGACCUGCAUCUCAAACUGCUUGGCUUGAGUACGGGAGAGGAUGAGGGAAUUCCUGGUGUAGCGGUGAAAUGCGUAGAUAUCAGGAGGAACACCGGUGGCGAAGGCGCUCAUCUGGCCCGAUACUGACGCUGAGGCGCGAAAGCUAGGGGAGCAAACGGGAUUAGAUACCCGCGUAGUCC